CGCUCCUGGAAACGGCGUCCACACUACAACUCUGAUGAGUCUGAAAACUCCUGUGUGGAGCCACGAGUCGAUGAUUCUCGUGGGUCCCUUCCAACCUGCCGUUGAAGGGGCAGGGAAAUAGAAUCCUCGCUUUGUUCUGCAGCUGUUGCUGUCGGGAAAAAGAACAGGGAACUUAGGGAACUUGAAAUUACUACCAGUCCAUUGAAGGAGCAUGAAUUAAAGAAUGAGUUUUUCAGUUCUGAGUUUGCUCCUUCUUGCCACUGCAACACGUUAGCCUUCAAAAGACCAAAAUGUUAAGAACUGGAUGGGGGUCACUCCAGGCUGCCAAGUGUUACGGAAAGUUAUGACAGUUCUUCAUUCUAGUCAGCUGAAGAUAUCAUCUUCUAGCUAAAAGACCAGAAAAGAUUUCUACAUUCAUUACAUUCAUUUGGAGCAGAAGACAAACAUAGCACUCAAAUACACAAAAUCCUGCAGUCUUUGCCUAGUUCUAGAAAUGCCUAGUUCUGCUGCUUUGGAAUUGUUUCUUAAGAGUCCAGGCACAAGUAUUCACAUACUCCAAACAUUGACUCCUAAGAUCAAAUUGGAGUGCCCUUUAAUUAUUAUUAUUUUUUUUAAUCAACUUUCAACACUAGAAGCUUUCUUCAUAAAGGCAGGGAAAUCUGAAAAAUCUGUUUGUAAUUUCCCUUUCAGAUCUCUGUGUUCACAUGUACUUUAUUGUUCAUUUUAAGGUAUCUGUUCCUUUGUAGCAUUGUACUGGAAUAUACAUUAAUUAAUAAAAAAUAUUUGAAAGGAAUUGUUAAUGCAAGGCUUAUUUGGAGUAAUCAGUGAUCUCUAAAAAUGCCCUUGGUGUAACCUCCUUUGCUGCAGAGCAGACUCUUCAAAUAUUAAAGAUUCUGAAAGUUGAAGGAGCAACCACAGAUGUGUUUCUUGUGCUUUGCAAAAUGUAUUUUCUAUGAACUUAUUGGUAACAGUGAUGCACAGCAGCUAAAUCAUACGGUCUUACUUGUCA
ensembl:lncRNA